rnacentral:rRNA from 1 species
GACGAACGCUGGCGGCGUGCUUAACACAUGCAAGUCGAACGGAAAGGCCCUGCUUUUGUGGGGUGCUCGAGUGGCGAACGGGUGAGUAACACGUGAGUAACCUGCCCUUGACUUUGGGAUAACUUCAGGAAACUGGGGCUAAUACCGGAUAGGAGCUCCUGCUGCAUGGUGGGGGUUGGAAAGUUUCGGCGGUUGGGGAUGGACUCGCGGCUUAUCCGCUUGUUGGUGGGGUAGUGGCUUACCAAGGCUUUGACGGGUAGCCGGCCUGAGAGGGUGACCGGCCACAUUGGGACUGAGAUACGGCCCAGACUCCUACGGGAGGCAGCAGUGGGGAAUAUUGCACAAUGGGCGGAAGCCUGAUGCAGCAACGCCGCGUGCGGGAUGACGGCCUUCGGGUUGUAAACCGCUUUCGCCUGUGACGAAGCGUGAGUGACGGUAAUGGGUAAGGAAGCACCGGCUAACUACGUG